rnacentral:tRNA from 1 species
GCGCACGUGGUGAAACUGGUAGACACGCCAGCUUGAGGGGCUGGUGCUUUAAGUAGUGUGGAAGUUCGAAUCUUCUCGUGCGCA